rnacentral:antisense_RNA from 1 species
GUAGGAGUGAGCCUGCUCGCGAUUGCGGAGUGUCAGCCAACAUUUGUUUGACUGGUACUCCGCAAUCGCGAGCAGGCUCACUCCUAC